rnacentral:rRNA from 1 species
GAGUUGUAAUUUAGAGAAGCGUCUUACCUGCGCUGGACCGUGCACAAGUCUCCUGGAAUGGAGCGUCAUAGAGGGUGAGAAUCCCGUCUUUGGCAUGGACUCCCAGGGCUUCUGUGAUGCGCUCUCGACGAGUCGAGUUGUUUGGGAAUGCAGCUCAAAAUGGGUGGUGAACUCCAUCUAAAGCUAAAUAUUGGCGAGAGACCGAUAGCGAACAAGUACCGUGAGGGAAAGAUGAAAAGCACUUUGGAAAGAGAGUGAAACAGUACGUGAAAUUGUUGAAAGGGAAACGCUUGAAGUCAGUCGCGUUGACUCGAGACUCAACCUUGCUAUUUUUGGCUUGGUGUAUUUCCUCGGCUGACGGGUCAGCAUCAAUUUUGACCCUCAGAUAAUGGCAAGGGAAAGGUGGCACCUUUUAGGUGUGUUAUAGUCCCAUGUCGCAUGUGAGGGUUGGGAUUGAGGAACUCAGCAUGCACCUCUGGGUGUCGGGGCUUUGGCCCACGUUACAUGCUUAGGAUGCUGGCGUAAUGGCUUUAAACGACCCGUCUUGAAACACSGACCMA